UACGAGGGGUGCAAGCGUUGCUCGGAAUUAUUGGGCGUAAAGGGUUGGUAGGUGGUCUUGUUUGUCUAAGGUGAAAUCCCAUGGUCUUAACUGUGGAAAGUGCCCUAGAAACGGCAAGACUAGAGUCCUAGAGGGGUUCGUGGAAUUCCCGGUGUAGGCGGAUGAAAUGCGUAGAGAUCGGGAGGAACACCAGCGGCGAAGGCGGCGAACUGGAUAGGCACUGACACUCAACAACGAAAGCGUGGGGAGCAAACAGG
rnacentral:rRNA from 1 species